GGUUAAGCGACUAAGCGUACACGGUGGAUGCCCUGGCAGUCAGAGGCGAUGAAGGACGUGCUAAUCUGCGAUAAGCGUCGGUAAGGUGAUAUGAACCGUUAUAACCGGCGAUUUCCGAAUGGGGAAACCCAGUGUGUUUCGACACACUAUCAUUAACUGAAUCCAUAGGUUAAUGAGGCGAACCGGGGGAACUGAAACAUCUAAGUACCCCGAGGAAAAGAAAUCAACCGAGAUUCCCCCAGUAGCGGCGAGCGAACGGGGAGCAGCCCAGAGCCUGAAUCAGUGUGUGUGUUAGUGGAAGCGUCUGGAAAGGCGCGCGAUACAGGGUGACAGCCCCGUACACAAAAAUGCACAUAUUGUGAGCUCGAUGAGUAGGGCGGGACACGUGGUAUCCUGUCUGAAUAUGGGGGGACCAUCCUCCAAGGCUAAAUACUCCUGACUGACCGAUAGUGAACCAGUACCGUGAGGGAAAGGCGAAAAGAACCCCGGCGAGGGGAGUGAAAAAGAACCUGAAACCGUGUACGUACAAGCAGUGGGAGCACGCUUAGGCGUGUGACUGCGUACCUUUUGUAUAAUGGGUCAGCGACUUAUAUUCUGUAGCAAGGUUAACCGAAUAGGGGAGCCGAAGGGAAACCGAGUCUUAACUGGGCGUUAAGUUGCAGGGUAUAGACCCGAAACCCGGUGAUCUAGCCAUGGGCAGGUUGAAGGUUGGGUAACACUAACUGGAGGACCGAACCGACUAAUGUUGAAAAAUUAGCGGAUGACUUGUGGCUGGGGGUGAAAGGCCAAUCAAACCGGGAGAUAGCUGGUUCUCCCCGAAAGCUAUUUAGGUAGCGCCUCGUGAAUUCAUCUCCGGGGGUAGAGCACUGUUUCGGCAAGGGGGUCAUCCCGACUUACCAACCCGAUGCAAACUGCGAAUACCGGAGAAUGUUAUCACGGGAGACACACGGCGGGUGCUAACGUCCGUCGUGAAGAGGGAAACAACCCAGACCGCCAGCUAAGGUCCCAAAGUCAUGGUUAAGUGGGAAACGAUGUGGGAAGGCCCAGACAGCCAGGAUGUUGGCUUAGAAGCAGCCAUCAUUUAAAGAAAGCGUAAUAGCUCACUGGUCGAGUCGGCCUGCGCGGAAGAUGUAACGGGGCUAAACCAUGCACCGAAGCUGCGGCAGCGACGCUGAUGCGUUGUUGGGUAGGGGAGCGUUCUGUAAGCCUGCGAAGGUGUACUGUGAGGUAUGCUGGAGGUAUCAGAAGUGCGAAUGCUGACAUAAGUAACGAUAAAGCGGGUGAAAAGCCCGCUCGCCGGAAGACCAAGGGUUCCUGUCCAACGUUAAUCGGGGCAGGGUGAGUCGACCCCUAAGGCGAGGCCGAAAGGCGUAGUCGAUGGGAAACAGGUUAAUAUUCCUGUACUUGGUGUUACUGCGAAGGGGGGACGGAGAAGGCUAUGUUGGCCGGGCGACGGUUGUCCCGGUUUAAGCGUGUAGGCUGGUUUUCCAGGCAAAUCCGGAAAAUCAAGGCUGAGGCGUGAUGACGAGGCACUACGGUGCUGAAGUAACAAAUGCCCUGCUUCCAGGAAAAGCCUCUAAGCAUCAGGUAACAUCAAAUCGUACCCCAAACCGACACAGGUGGUCAGGUAGAGAAUACCAAGGCGCUUGAGAGAACUCGGGUGAAGGAACUAGGCAAAAUGGUGCCGUAACUUCGGGAGAAGGCACGCUGAUAUGUAGGUGAAGCGACUUGCUCGUGGAGCUGAAAUCAGUCGAAGAUACCAGCUGGCUGCAACUGUUUAUUAAAAACACAGCACUGUGCAAACACGAAAGUGGACGUAUACGGUGUGACGCCUGCCCGGUGCCGGAAGGUUAAUUGAUGGGGUUAGCGGUAACGCGAAGCUCUUGAUCGAAGCCCCGGUAAACGGCGGCCGUAACUAUAACGGUCCUAAGGUAGCGAAAUUCCUUGUCGGGUAAGUUCCGACCUGCACGAAUGGCGUAAUGAUGGCCAGGCUGUCUCCACCCGAGACUCAGUGAAAUUGAACUCGCUGUGAAGAUGCAGUGUACCCGCGGCAAGACGGAAAGACCCCGUGAACCUUUACUAUAGCUUGACACUGAACAUUGAGCCUUGAUGUGUAGGAUAGGUGGGAGGCUUAGAAGUGUGGACGCCAGUCUGCAUGGAGCCGACCUUGAAAUACCACCCUUUAAUGUUUGAUGUUCUAACGUUGGCCCCUAAUCGGGGUUGCGGACAGUGUCUGGUGGGUAGUUUGACUGGGGCGGUCUCCUCCUAAAGAGUAACGGAGGAGCACGAAGGUUGGCUAAUCCUGGUCGGACAUCAGGAGGUUAGUGCAAUGGCAUAAGCCAGCUUGACUGCGAGCGUGACGGCGCGAGCAGGUGCGAAAGCAGGUCAUAGUGAUCCGGUGGUUCUGAAUGGAAGGGCCAUCGCUCAACGGAUAAAAGGUACUCCGGGGAUAACAGGCUGAUACCGCCCAAGAGUUCAUAUCGACGGCGGUGUUUGGCACCUCGAUGUCGGCUCAUCACAUCCUGGGGCUGAAGUAGGUCCCAAGGGUAUGGCUGUUCGCCAUUUAAAGUGGUACGCGAGCUGGGUUUAGAACGUCGUGAGACAGUUCGGUCCCUAUCUGCCGUGGGCGCUGGAGAACUGAGGGGGGCUGCUCCUAGUACGAGAGGACCGGAGUGGACGCAUCACUGGUGUUCGGGUUGUCAUGCCAAUGGCACUGCCCGGUAGCUAAAUGCGGAAGAGAUAAGUGCUGAAAGCAUCUAAGCACGAAACUUGCCCCGAGAUGAGUUCUCCCUGACCCUUUAAGGGUCCUGAAGGAACGUUGAAGACGACGACGUUGAUAGGCCGGGUGUGUAAGCGCAGCGAUGCGUUGAGCUAACCGGUACUAAUGAACCGUGAGGCUUAACCUU
rnacentral:rRNA from 1 species